AUUCAAAUGGACCGGUUCCACUUUCAUCCCCUUUUCCUGGUGACGCCAUGUUGUCUGAAAAGUACUUCUAAGGGGAGUUGUGGGGGUUAAAGGCAAUAAUUUUAAGAAGUACCAGAUUUUGUUUAGAUGUUUUUCUUUGAAGUUCAUGAUUUCUAACUUUUUUUUCGCUGCAGAGCCUCAAACCUCACCACUAGAGCACCCAACCUCCUUUUUCCAGGGGACUUUAACACCUUUUUCCUAGAAGACUUUAACUUCCUUUUCCCAGAGGACUUUAACCUCCGAAUUCUCAAUAACAUAUGAUGCUGAAAGCGAGCACGUGAGCGUGCAAGUGCGAUGAUGAUGCAAAUAUAAAUUAUCUCUGAAUAAAAGGAGAUGGCCAGGACUACCAGAUGAAGAACAGCAGUUCAUG